rnacentral:rRNA from 1 species
GAUGAACGCUGGCGGCGUGCCUAAUACAUGCAAGUCGAGCGGAGGAGCGAGAAGCUUGUUUCGCGGCUGUUAGCGGCGGAAGGGGGGGUAACACUAGGAGAACCUACCUGUCAACCUGGGAUAACUUCGGCAAACCGGAGCUAUUACCGGAUACUAUUUUGAACCGCUUGGUUGAGAAUAGACCGACGCUCUUGCUGUCCCUGUUAGAUGGACUCGCGCUGCAUUAGCUAGUUGGUCAGGUAACGGCUUACUAAGGCAACGAUGCAUAGCCGGACUGAGAGGGGGAUCGGCCACACUGGAAGUGAGACGCGGUCCGGACUCCGACGGGAGGCCGCAGGAGGGAAUGUUGCGAAGUGGGCGAAAGCAUGACGGAGCAACGCAGCGUGAGUGAUGAAGGUCAUCGGAUCGUAAAACUGUGUGAUUAGGGAAGAACAGAUGUGGAAGUAACUGUGUACGUCUUGACGGUAACUAAUCAGAUAGCCACGGCUAACUACGUG